rnacentral:rRNA from 1 species
UAAGGAAUAUUGCUCAAUGGGAGAAAUCCUGAAGCAGCAACGCCGCGUGGAGGAUGAAGGGUUUUAACUUGUAAACUCCUGUAAAGAAGGAAAAAAUUCCCAUUAGAUGGGAAAUGAUGGUACUUCUGGAGUAAGCCCCGGCUAACUACGUGCCAGCAGCCGCGGUAAUACGUAGGGGGCAAGCGUUGUCCGGAUUUACUGGGUGUAAAGGGUGCUCAGGCGGAUUUGUAAGUCAGAGGUGAAAUCUCACAGCUUAACUGUGAAACUGCCUUUGAUACUGCAAGCCUAGAGUAUGGAAGAGAGUGAUGGAAUAUCUGGUGUAGCAGUGAAAUGCGUAGAUAUCAGAUAGAACACCAAUGGCGAAGGCAGUCACUUGGUCCAUAACUGACGCUAAAGCACGAAAGCGUGGGUAGCAAACAGGAUUAGAUACCCUGGUAGUCCACGCCCUAAACGAUGAAUACUAGAUGUUGGCUUCGCAUGAAGUCAGUAUCUGAGCUAACGCAUUAAGUAUUCCACCUGGGAAGUACGAUCGCAAGGUUGAAACUCAAAUGAAUUGACGGGGUCAUAGCUGUUUCCUG